rnacentral:rRNA from 1 species
UGGCUGCAGUCGAGAAUCUUUCACAAUGGACGAAAGUCUGAUGAUGCGACGCCGCGUGGGGGAUGACGGUCUUCGGAUUGUAAACCCAUUUUAUUAAGGAGGAACGCUGAAGAGUUAAUAGCUUUUCAGUCUGACUGUACUUGAUGAAUAAGCCACGGCUAACUCCGUGCCAGCAGCCGCGGUAAUACGGAGGUGGCGAGCGUUACUCGGUUUGACUGGGUGUAAAGGGUCCGUAGGCGGCCUUGUAAGUGGAAGGUGAAAUCUUUCGGCUUAACCGAAAAACUGCCUUUUAGACUGCAUGGCUUGAGGAUGGAAGAGGAGAGUGGAACUGUCAGUGUAAAGGUGAAAUUUGUGGAUAUUGACAGGAACGCCCGUGGAGAAGUCGGCUCUCUGGUCCAUAUCUGACGCUGAGGGACGAAAGCUAGGGGAGUGAACAGGAUUAGAUACCCUGGUAGUC